UACGUAGGGGCCUAGCGUUGUCCGGAAUUAUUGGGCGUAAAGAGCUCGUAGGCGGUUCGGCAAGUCGGAUGUGAAAUCUCCACGCUCAACGUGGAGGGGCCAUUCGAAACUGCCGUGACUCGAGUCCGGUAGGGGAGUGUGGAAUUCCAGGUGUAGCGGUGAAAUGCGUAGAUAUCUGGAGGAACACCGGUGGCGAAGGCGACAUCCUGGACCGGUAUUGACGCUGAGGCGCGAAAGCCAGGGGAGCAAACGGG
rnacentral:rRNA from 1 species